GCUAUUGAACUGGUUCAAACAACUUGGGAAACAGAUUAAGGCGGUCUCAGUCCCAGCAAAGCCCCGAACUGCAGAUUCCGGUGUGCGAUUUCCCAUCCCCCACGCUGUCGCAGACUGUGGUGAGAUGAAUUUCAGAGACGGGAAGAUGUUUGGACUUAGGAGUAGAACAGCUGGACUCGGAAGCUCAGUUCUGCUGUUUGUUUUGAAACUCAACUUGGAAGUAGUGACUUGAAUAUACUCAUUAAAACAAAACAAACAGAAACAGACAAAAAACUAGAGGCUGGAGAGAUGGCUCAUCAGUAGAAGUGGUUGCUGAUCUUCCAGAAGACCUGAGUUUGGUUACCAGUAUCCACUUCAGGCAGCUAACAACUAUUUACCGUUCCAGCUACAAUGUAUCCUACACUCUCUUCCGCUUUGCACAGGCUGCUGCAUACGCGACACACAUUUGCUCCAAUAUAAACACAUGAAUAAAAAUUAAAAUAAUUAAAAUAAAACUGGCACUAGGACUGGGGUUUAGCUCAGAGUGGAGCUCUACCCAGGACACAUGAAAGUUUGGGUUUCAUCCUCAGCACUGCAAAAACAGUGAAAGCA